rnacentral:lncRNA from 1 species
ACUGACGUUUUUCGUCGGAGCCCUUCUGAAUGUCCGUUUGUGCUCAAAUUUGACAGUCAGGUUCGGUUUUACUUAAUAAGUAUAAAAAAAUUUUAAUCUUUCAGUUUCGACCAUAUUUGGUCACCGAAUGCUACACCGAACUGUAAUCUCUAGCAGAUAGCAGUCGGAUUUUAUUUUCUACCUUCCGGGUGUCAGAAUGAUAUGAAACUUUAAAUCUAGCCUUAUAAAAAUAAUUCCGACAUAUUCUCCAGUUUUCAUAAUUUUCUGACAUUGUGCAUUUUCUGCUAAAAUAUCAGCUCCGUUUCUUACAGAAAAUUCUAAAUCUUCUGUUUUCGUUCCGAUUUCAGCACGAGUCGUUUCCGACUUAUAUUUUACUUCUCUAAAUCCAAAAAAAAUAGUAUCUCACACUAUUUUUAUUUAUUUUUUACUUUUAUAUCAAAAUCUGAUAUAUGUACUGAUACACUUCCUCGCGUCACCGGUAACACGACUGCGCAGAGACAA